rnacentral:pre_miRNA from 1 species
AGAGCUGCAAUACUGAAAUAGUCACUGCGAUAUUGGCCCGGUUCAUUCAGAGCUUAAGCGUUUAAGCUGAAUGCUUGCUGGUGGACUUUGAUUGAGCCGUGCCAAUAUCUUAGUGCUUACUUCAAACACCAUGCAGCCC